AGCGGCGCACGGGUGAGUAACACGUGGAUAACCUGCCUCGAAGUGGGGGAUAACACCGGGAAACCGGUGCUAAUACCGCAUAUUCUGACGAGAUCUGCGGAUUUGGUCAGGAAAGGAGCAAUUCGCUACGAGAGGGGUCCGCGGCUGAUUAGCUAGUUGGUGAGGUAAUGGCUCACCAAGGCAACGAUCAGUAGCCGGUCUGAGAGGACGGUCGGCCACACUGGAACUGAGACACGGUCCAGACUCCUACGGGAGGCAGCAGUGGGGAAUUUUUGGCAAUGGGCGAAAGCCUGACCAAGCAACGCCGCGUGGAUGAUGAAGUAUUUCGGUACGUAAAAUCCUUUCGACGGGGACGAAGCCGCAAGGUUGACGGUACCCGUAGAAGAAGCCCCGGCUAACUCCGUGCCAGCAGCCGCGGUAAUACGGGGGGGGCAAGCGUUGUUCGGAAUUACUGGGCGUAAAGGGCGCGUAGGCGGCUCGCUAAGUCGGGUGUGAAAACUCUGGGCUCAACCCAGAGCCUGCACUCGAAACUGACGAGCUAGAGUUCUGGAGGGGAAAGCGGAAUUCCUGGUGUAGCGGUGAAAUGCGUAGAUAUCAGGAGGAACACCGGUGGCGAAGGCGGCUUUCUGGACAGAAACUGACGCUGAUGCGCGAAAGCUAGGGGAGCAAACAGGAUUAGAUACCCUGGUAGUCCUAGCCCU
rnacentral:rRNA from 1 species